GCUCCGGACUGGGGAGCGUCGCUGGAGGCUCCGGACUGGGGAGCGUCGCUGGAGGCUCCGGACUGGGGAGCGUCGCUGGAGGCUCCGGGCUGAGGUCCGUCUCAGUAGGUUCCGGGCUGAGGUCCGUCUCAGUAGGUUCCGGGCUGAGGUCCGUCUCAGUAGGUUCCGGGCUGUAGGCCGUCUCAGUAGGUUCCGGGCUGUAGGCCGUCUCAGUAGGUUCCGGGCUGUAGGCAGUCUAAGUAGGUUCCGGACUGUAGGCCGUCUCAGUAGGUCCCGGACUGAAAAACGUCGCCGGAAGCUCUGGACGGGGAACUGUCGCCGGAAGCUCUGGACGGGGAACUGUCGUUGGAAGCUCUGGACUGGGAAUGUGCACUGGAAUCCUGAUGUGUGGGACUGGCAUGGGUGGCGCCAGACUGGUAACACGCACCUCAGGAAGAGUGCAGGGGGCAGGAACAAGACACUCCGGACUGGGCAUGCGCACUGGAGGUCUGAUGCGUGGGACUGGCCUAGGUGGCGCCGGACUGGUAACACGCACCUCAGGACGAGUGCAGGGAGCAGGAACAGGACACUCCGGACUGGGCAUGUGCACUGGAGGUCUGACGCGUGGAACUGGCCUAGGUGGCGCCAGACUGGUAACAGUC
rnacentral:lncRNA from 1 species